rnacentral:rRNA from 1 species
UACGAAGGUGGCAAGCGUUGUUCGGAUUUACUGGGCGUACAGGGAGCGUAGGCGGUUGGAUAAGCCCUCCGUGAAAUCUCCAGGCUUAACCUGGAAAGUGCAGAGGGGACUGUUCAGCUAGAGGAUGGGAGAGGAGCGCGGAAUUCCCGGUGUAGCGGUGAAAUGCGUAGAUAUCAGGAGGAACACCUGUGGCGAAAAGCGGCUCACUAGACCAUAACUGACGCUGAUGCACGAAAGCUAGGGGAGCAAACAGG